rnacentral:lncRNA from 1 species
CACAGUUAAACAGUUUACAGAAGGUUCAGCGGGGCAGGCACCGGGGGUCACACUGGUGCCAGGCAACACCACUGGAAGCUGGCAGUCCCCGGCAAGGACUGUAAAAUUUAUCAUCCUGGAUGUCUUUUCUCUGUACUUUAAUAAACUAUGAGUAAACUAACAGAAGAGCACUCCUGCGUAUUAGAGAAUCCGAAGACGACAGGUGGGAUAGAGCCCAAAGCCUAUGUGGAUGCAAAUCAGUAAGAACCACCCGAGACAGCGACAGACAGGUGACACGGAGUGCCUGCAUCCCAGCUGCAAAUCAGUAAGAACCACCCCAGACAGCGACAGACAGGUGACACGGAGUGCCUGCAUCCUAGAUGCAAAUCAGUAAGAACCACCCGAGACAGUGACAGACAGGUGACACGGAGUGCCUGCAUCCCAGAUGCAAAUCAGUAAGAACCACCUGAGACAGUGACAGACAGGUGACAGCGAGUGCCUGCGUCCCAGAUGCAAAUCAGUAAGAACCACCCGAGACAGUGACAGACAGGUGACAGCGAGUGCCUGCGUCCCAGAUGCAAAUCAGUAAGAACCACCCGAGACAGCGACAGACAGGUGACAGCGAGUGCCUGCGUCCCGGGUGCAAAUCAGUAAGAACCACCCGAGACAGUGACAGACAGGUGACACGGAGUGCCUGCGUCCCAGGUGCAAAUCAGUAAGAACCACCCGAGACAGUGACAGACAGGUGACAGCGAGUGCCUGCGUCCCAGAUGCAAAUCAGUAAGAACCACCCGAGACAGUGACAGACAGGUGACAGCGAGUGCCUGCGUCCCAGAUGCAAAUCAGUAAGAACCACCCGAGACAGUGACAGACAGGUGACAGCGAGUGCCUGCGUCCCAGGUGCAAAUCAGUAAGAACCACCCGAGACAGUGACAGACAGGUGACAGCGAGUGCCUGCGUCCCGGGUGCAAAUCAGUAAGAACCACCCGAGACAGUGACAGACAGGUGACACAGAGUGCCUGCGUCCCGGGUGCAAAUCAGUUAAGAAUGACCCGAGACAGGAUGGGACAGACAGGUGACACCGAGUGCCUGCAUCCCAGGUGCAAAUCAGUAAGAACCACCCGAGACUGGGACAGACAAGUGACACGGAGUGCCUGCAUCCCAGGUGCAAAUCAGUAAGAACCACCCGAGACAGUGACAGACAGGUGACAGCGAAUGCCUGCGUCCCAGGUGCAAAUCAGUAAGAACCACCCGAGACAAUGACAGACAGGUGACACAGAGUGCCUGCGUCCCAGGUGCAAAUCAGUUAAGAACGACCCGAGACAGUAUGGGACAGACAGGUGACAGGGAGUGCCUGCAUCCCAGCUGCAAAUCAGUAAGAACCACCCGAGACAGUAUGGGACAGACAGGUGACACGGAGUGCCUGCAUCCUGGCGCCAGGCGUGCUGGGCGCAAUAAGACAGACAUGUCCCCCAUCCAUCGCGCCAGUCCCUUCCACGGGGUGAGCACUAUUAUCUACACGCUUUAUAUGUGGAGAAACUCCGCACCGUGCACAGGGCCACGCUGCUGGGACAAGGGCAGCAGGUAUCUCCAGGGCCUGGCCCGUGUCAGCCCCUCCUCCCGCCAGUGCCUCCUGCCAUGGUGCUGGCUCCAGCCAUGUGACCUCAGUUCACUUCUUUUUGACUUGACAGCGCUCUCAUAUAUAUAUUUACAUAAUAUAUAAAGUGUGUUUAUAUAUGUAUAUAUUUUAAAUGUCUAUAUAUUUUGUUAAACUAUAAUAUAAACCUUUUACAGGAAAGACAAUAUAUUUUCUUUUUAGAGAAAAUUUUUUUUUUUGGAGACAGUCUCCCUCUGUCGCCCAGGAUGGAGUGCAGUGGUGCAAUCUCAGCUCACAGCAACCUCCGCCUCCCAGGUUGAAGCGAUUCUCCUGCCUCAGCCUCCCCAGCAGGUGGGAUUACAGGUGCCCACCACCAUACCCGGUUAAUUUUUGUAUUUUUAGUAGAGACCUGGUCUCGCCAUGUUGGCCAGGCUGGUCUCGAACUCCUGACCUCAGGUGAUCCUCCCUCCUUGGCCUCCCACAGUGCUGGGGAUUACAGCCAUGAGCCACGGUGCCCAGCCAACACUGAAAUUUUAAAUGUUACUUUAAACAGAAAUAUGGAAACACAGAGGUGAGAAAGAGGUGUGCAAAUCAUGGGGUCCUAAAAAGUGCCAUUCCUGGAGCCGCU